rnacentral:rRNA from 1 species
UACGGAGGAGGCAAGCGUUAUCCGGAAUUAUUGGGCGUAAAGCGUCCGCAGGUGGCACUUCAAGUCUGCUGUCAAAGCCCGGGGCUUAACUUCGGAAAGGCAGUGGAAACUGAACAGCUAGAGUAUGGUAGGGGCAGAGGGAAUUCCUGGUGUAGCGGUGAAAUGCGUAGAGAUCAGGAAGAACAUCGGUGGCGAAGGCGCUCUGCUGGACCAUAACUGACACUCAGGGACGAAAGCUAGGGGAGCGAAUGGG